UACGUAGGGUGCAAGCGUUGUCCGGAAUUAUUGGGCGUAAAGAGCUCGUAGGCGGUCUGUCGCGUCUGCUGUGAAAAUCCAGGGCUCAACCCUGGACCUGCAGUGGGUACGGGCAGACUAGAGUCCGGAAGAGGAAAGUGGAAUUCCUGGUGUAGCGGUGAAAUGCGCAGAUAUCAGGAAGAACACCAAUGGCGAAAGCAGCUUUCUGGGACGGUACUGACGCUGAGACGCGAAAGCGUGGGGAGCGAACAGG
rnacentral:rRNA from 1 species